rnacentral:rRNA from 1 species
AAGCAAAUCCCAUAAACCGUGGCUCAGUUCAGAUCGUAGGCUGCAACUCGCCUACGUGAAGGAGGAAUCGCUAGUAAUCGCAGGUCAGCAUACUGCGGUGAAUACGUUCCCGGGCCUUGUACACACCGCCCGUCACACCAUGGAAGUUGGCCACGCCCGAAGCCGUUACUCCAACCCUUGUGGAGGAGGACGUCGAAGGUGGGGCUGAUGACUGGGGUGAAGUCGUACAAGGUAUCCGUACCGGAAGGUGCGGAUGGAUCACCUCCUAA